rnacentral:rRNA from 1 species
GAUGAACGCUGGCGGCGUGCCUAAUACAUGCAAGUCGAGCGAACGGACGAGAAGCUUGCUUCUCUGAUGUUAGCGGCGGACGGGUGAGUAACACGUGGAUAACCUACCUAUAAGACUGGGAUAACUUCGGGAAACCGGAGCUAAUACCGGAUAAUAUUUUGAACCGCAUGGUUCAAAAGUGAAAGACGGUCUUGCUGCCACUUAUAGAUGGAUCCGCGCUGCAUUAGCUAGUUGGUAAGGUAACGGCUUACCAAGGCAACGAUGCAUAGCCGACCUGAGAGGGUGAUCGGCCACACUGGAACUGAGACACGGUCCAGACUCCUACGGGAGGCAGCAGUAGGGAAUCUUCCGCAAUGGGCGAAAGCCUGACGGAGCAACGCCGCGUGAGUGAUGAAGGUCUUCGGAUCGUAAAACUCUGUUAUUAGGGAAGAACAUAUGUGUAAGUAACUGUGCACAUCUUGACGGUACCUAAUCAGAAAGCCACGGCUAACUACGUGCCAGCAGCCGCGGUAAUACGUAGGUGGCAAGCGUUAUCCGGAAUUAUUGGGCGUAAAGCGCGCGUAGGCGGUUUUUUAAGUCUGAUGUGAAAGCCCACGGCUCAACCGUGGAGGGUCAUUGGAAACUGGAAAACUUGAGUGCAGAAGAGGAAAGUGGAAUUCCAUGUGUAGCGGUGAAAUGCGCAGAGAUAUGGAGGAACACCAGUGGCGAAGGCGACUUUCUGGUCUGUAACUGACGCUGAUGUGCGAAAGCGUGGGGAUCAAACAGGAUUAGAUACCCUGGUAGUCCACGCCGUAAACGAUGAGUGCUAAGUGUUAGGGGGUUUCCGCCCCUUAGUGCUGCAGCUAACGCAUUAAGCACUCCGCCUGGGGAGUACGACCGCAAGGUUGAAACUCAAAGGAAUUGACGGGGACCCGCACAAGCGGUGGAGCAUGUGGUUUAAUUCGAAGCAACGCGAAGAACCUUACCAAAUCUUGACAUCCUUUGACAACUCUAGAGAUAGAGCCUUCCCCUUCGGGGGACAAAGUGACAGGUGGUGCAUGGUUGUCGUCAGCUCGUGUCGUGAGAUGUUGGGUUAAGUCCCGCAACGAGCGCAACCCUUAAGCUUAGUUGCCAUCAUUAAGUUGGGCACUCUAAGUUGACUGCCGGUGACAAACCGGAGGAAGGUGGGGAUGACGUCAAAUCAUCAUGCCCCUUAUGAUUUGGGCUACACACGUGCUACAAUGGACAAUACAAAGGGCAGCGAAACCGCGAGGUCAAGCAAAUCCCAUAAAGUUGUUCUCAGUUCGGAUUGCAGUCUGCAACUCGACUACAUGAAGCUGGAAUCGCUAGUAAUCGUAGAUCAGCAUGCUACGGUGAAUACGUUCCCGGGUCU